rnacentral:rRNA from 1 species
AUUGAACGCUGGCGGCAUGCCUUACACAUGCAAGUCGAACGGUAACAGGUUAAGCUGACGAGUGGCGAACGGGUGAGUAAUGUAUCGGAACGUGCCCAGUCGUGGGGGAUAACUGCUCGAAAGAGCAGCUAAUACCGCAUACGACCUGAGGGUGAAAGCGGGGGAUCGCAAGACCUCGCGCGAUUGGAGCGGCCGAUAUCAGAUUAGGUAGUUGGUGAGGUAAAGGCUCACCAAGCCGACGAUCUGUAGCUGGUCUGAGAGGACGACGAGCCACACUGGGGCUGAGACACGGCCCAGACUCCUACGGGAGGCAGCAGUGGGGAAUUUUGGACAAUGGGCGCAAGCCUGAUCCAGCCAUGCCGCGUGCGGGAAGAAGGCCUUCGGGUUGUAAACCGCUUUUGUCAGGGAAGAAAAGGUUCUGGCUAAUACCUGGGACUCAUGACGGUACCUGAAGAAUAAGCACCGGCUAACUACGUG